GCCUGGGUGGCUCAGUCGGUUGAGCGUCUGACUUUGGCUCAGGUCAUGAUCUCACACCUCGUGAGUUCGAGCCCCACAUCGGGCU
rfam:Felis catus isolate Cinnamon breed Abyssinian chromosome B1, whole genome shotgun sequence.